rnacentral:rRNA from 2 species
GCGGCAACAGCUCAAAUUUGAAAUCUGGUCCCCUUGCGGGGCCCGAGUUGUAAUUUGAAGAGGAUGCUUCUGGCAAGGUGCCUUCCGAGUUCCCUGGAACGGGACGCCGCAGAGGGUGAGAGCCCCGUACGGUAGGACGCCGAGCCUCUGUGAAGCUCCUUCGACGAGUCGAGUAGUUUGGGAAUGCUGCUCAAAAUGGGAGGUAAACCCCUUCUAAAGCUAAAUACCGGCCAGAGACCGAUAGCGCACAAGUAGAGUGAUCGAAAGAUGAAAAGCACUUUGAAAAGAGAGUUAAAAAGCACGUGAAAUUGUUGAAAGGGAAGCGCUUGCGACCAGACUCGCGCCCGUCGGAUCAGCCGUCGCUUGUCGGCGGCGCACUCCGGCGGGCUCGGGCCAGCAUCAGUUCGCCUCGGGGGGAGAAAGGCGGCAGGAAUGUGGCUCCUCGGAGUGUUAUAGCCUGCCGUGUAAUACCCCCGGGCGGACUGAGGACCGCGCGUAUGCAAGGAUGCUGGCGUAAUGGUCGUCAGCGACCCGUCUUGAAACACGGACCA